UACAGAGGGUGCAAGCGUUAAUCGGAAUUACUGGGCGUAAAGCGUGCGUAGACGGUUAUGUAAGUCAGGUGUGAAAGCCCCGGGCUCAACCUGGGAAUUGCAUUUGAGACUGCAUAGCUAGGGUGCGGAAGAGGGAAGCGGAAUUUCCGGUGUAGCGGUGAAAUGCGUAGAUAUCGGAAGGAACACCAGUGGCGAAAGCGGCUUCCUGGUCCAGCACCGACGUUCAGGCACGAAAGCGUGGGAAGCAAACAGG
rnacentral:rRNA from 1 species